CCGGCCCGAGGAGGAGGAGGAUCCUAGGACCCAGGAUCCAGAGGUGGAGAGGAGAAUGAAAGAUGGACUACACUCAUCCAGAGGAAAUGAAAGAGGGAUGAGAUCCAGAAAACAAGUGAGAAUGCAGUAUUUUGCAGGUCGCCCAUUACCGAUUUGUUUUGUGAGACUGUGCCCAGCGGUCAAGUUUCCAGGAGGACCCUUCUCCACUUUAAGACUGUGCAGAGCCAGAUUUUGUUUAUUGCUCCUGCACCCCAGUAUAUUAUACUAGCAGUACAACCAUAUAGCACUUCAGAUGAACAGCCUCCACAACCCUCCACCCCCAGUCUCUUGCAGUUGCCUGGAGCUGAGUUCGAAAAAGCUGCCUCAACAAGGAAUAGCCACAAGAAUGAGGACCUUUCUGUGGACACUGCAAAGCACAUGUGAGCAAGGGGUCAUGAUUGGGACACUGAUCAGCAUGAGAGAAAAAAAUAAAGCAAGCAACUCUGGAGACAUGAUACUGAAAUGAAGGCUAAAGGAGACUAUCCAACAGAGGACAUGUGAUGUGUCAUUGAGGACUUGGAAAGGAUUCGACACCCUCAGGUUGUCAUCCCAGACACCAUUCAUGCAGCAGUAGCUCUGCACACUCAUAAGAAAAAAAAAUUGACUAGGCUCAUCAGAAACCUAGCAGGAGGAUGCUGGAGAGAUGCUGCUUCCUAAGAACCAGGAUCUUUGUGGGACUCAGGAAAUGGAUGGUGGCAAGCUGGAAUGCUAGCUUUCAUUCUGCCCUGGACUCUAAUUGCUGCCCUGAAUACACAUUCCUGACCUUCUUCCCCAAGAUGUGUGUGUUCUCUGCUGGACACUUGCCUCAGUCUCACCUAUAUUGGAGAAACUUUCCUCCAGAUAUUGUGUGAAACACAAAGUCAUGAUUGAAACAUUUUUUUGCUGCUGCCGCCAAUGUAUUCCCUAAACAGCACCAGCCUUUCAGAAACUUGACCACAAUUCUGCAACUACUCAGGAGAUAGAACAUUUUAACUCAGUCCACGUAGCCACUGUAUAAUUUUAUUAGUAAGGGAUAAGAUUGGUCUCCAGAACAACUUGACCAUUAGAAUCUACAGAGCUUCUGCAGGCAAGCUUCUUUCUCCAUUCAUUAAAGGAGUACAGGCAGUCCCCGAGUUACGCGGAUCCGACUUAUGUCGGAUCCGCAGUUACAAACAGGGCU